rnacentral:lncRNA from 1 species
UAGCUUAAAUAUUAACGAUGUGAAUUAAUUAAACCAUUGCAAAAAAGGAUAUUUGAGAAAACUGAACACAUACAUAUUAGGCCUCCUAUUACAUCAGUUUAAUAUUAAACGCAGUGAAUUAUUAAACCAUGCAAAAAUGAUAUUUUGAGAAAAAUGCACUACAUACAUAUUAUAUGGUUCCAGAUGUCCAAACAAUAACUUGAUGUAUGCCCGGAUACAAUAAUUUUGAGGAAAAAAUGGGAACCAUUAGUAAGUAAAAAAUAUAUACUUGUCGUUUAUUUUUUUAGGAUAAAUAUGAUAUGUUUAUAUGGUUACAGAUGUCCAAAUAAUAACUUGAUGUAUGCCCGGAUACAAUAAUUUUGAGGAAAAAAUGGGAACCAUUAGUAAGUAAAAAAUAUAUAGAUAAUCGUAAAAAGUAUAUCAAUAUCCGUAAUUAUCCAUUAAACCAUGCAAAAAUGAUAUUUUGAGAAAAAUGCACUACAUACAUAUUAUACCUCCAUAAUUACAUCAGUUUAAUUAUUUUAAUUUUUUUAUGAAUGAUCAACUCAACUAGCUCUAAAUAGUAACGAUAUGAAUUAUUAAAAAAUUUAAAAUAAAUCGAUAUUAAGAACACUACAAUAUUAUAAUAUUUUGAGGGAAAUACAGUAAUAGCAAUCCGCAUAUUACACAAAAUGUGACAGAUUUGUGGAAGCAAGUCAAAAUCCCAAGCCAAUCAUCUUAUGCAGUCUUUUAGAAUUUAGACUUUUAGUAGUUACUUUCGAGGAAGUGGUCAGAAAUUGUGGGCGAAGUUAAAGCAGAUAUUAAUUUUGUAGAGCAUUGAUGUGGAAAGUAGGUGAAGUAGGUGUGUUUUGGCCCUCUGUGUGUGAAGUGUAAUUAGAAUGUUCUGAUUUGAAAUUUUCCUGUGGAUUACGGUAAUCAAGGAUGUAAGCAUAAUUAAUUCUUCAAAUACAGAAAAAUAUGAGAAUUGGUCAGGUUAGGUUAGAUAGAGACGUUUGAUGAGAAAUUAUUUACGGCUCUUAGAUCAAAUCUUAGUGAUGUUCUAAUUUUAAAUGAUUAAUCUAAAUAGAACUCGGAUUUGCUAAAGUUAGAUAUGUCAAUUAUACUAUAAAGUUGAUUAUUUUUUCCCCAAAUGUGUGUAUAAUUUCAUGGUUCUAAACUAUUUAUCUUUUAGAUAUCAUUACAAUAAAGAUGUAUGUCAAAAAUUAAAAUUAUUAAGUAUUAGUAAAUUUAUUUUUAAAAUGUAAAAUAUGUCCGUUCUAUUAUGAAAUAAAAUGUAUCGUCAAAACAAAUAUAUUUUGUAUCGUCAUUCUAAUUUUGUCAGACAUUGUUAUUAUAAUGAUAUCUAAAAGAUGAACGGAUUGGAUUGAUAAACUAUACGCGCAUUUGGUCUAUAAAUAAUCAAUUUUACGUUAAAGCUGAGAUCUCCAAAUUAAGCAAAUUUGAAUUUAUCUAAAUAAUAUGGUUCACUGGUUUUUUGUUUGAAUUAUGACCUAAUAUACAGAUAUAUUACUAAAUAUGUAGAUAUAUUAUUUGUUGAAUAAUGUAGAGCAAUAAUGUAAGAUUACCGAAUAAUUUUUCCAUGUUGAGAGCUCUCAUGCUAGCUAGUUUUUAGUGACUAAUAAUGAUGGGUCAUUCUGGGGUCCCAAUGUCCUUAACCUUUCUCGUAAACUCAUCGGUAAACUUUCUGUAGUAAAAUGCAUAUUAGUUGAUAUUUUUCAUGCCGCAAUCGUUUGAAAUUGGUGGGUUGGUUAACCUUUUUUGGUAGUUUUGACAGGUUGGGGCGUGUUGAGCGUGGGAGAGAAAAUCAUAACUUUAAUUCAACUAUUCAUAAAAUAAGAACCUGAAAUAUUUCACCUGAAAUAUUAUUAAAGAAGCGCCAAGUAUAAACAUAACAAAGAAAAUAAAUUUAAAACUGGAUAACAUAACAAAUUAUGUGAGAGUAAAUUAAGUGUGAAAGGGUGAAUGAGAAUAUAUUUAUAUUUUAUUUUUAUAUUGACCGUUCAACAAAAUUGAAUUUGCAAUUAACUUGACCCAGAAAAAAUAUUAUUAUCGAGCAAACCCAACUCAUUUACCCUCUAAAAUUGUGGGUUAUGGGAUGAGACGGUGCGAGUUGGGUCAAGUUGGAAGGUUAACAAAAGUGCAAUAAUAUAAAAAAAAAAACAUAGUGGAGUGAUUAAUAUAUUAAAUUGUUGAAAAAUCUUAUUUGUUUAUAAUGUUUAAUUAUCCUGAAUACUUAACAAAAAUGAUGUUAUAAUAUUAAUGCAUCUUUUGACAUAAUAACUUAACAUUGAUAAAUAUUUUGAUUUGAAAUUAUAAGACCGAAAUCUUCCUACAUAAGCAUUGACAAACUUUGGAGAAGUAAAACCAUAGUGUAGGACAAGUGUGAUAAGUGUGAAAUCUUCCUGGUCUCGUUUGAUAAGUGUGAUAGAAUUGAUAGGAUUAGCAAUGAGGUGAGAUUAAGAUUGAGAUUGAUAAUGAGUAGGGAUUAGUAAUGAGGUGU